rnacentral:rRNA from 1 species
UACGAAGGGGGCUAGCGUUGCUCGGAAUCACUGGGCGUAAAGCGCACGUAGGCGGCUUUUUAAGUCAGAGGUGAAAUCCUGGAGCUCAACUCCAGAACUGCCUUUGAUACUGAGAGGCUUGAGUCCGGGAGAGGCGAGUGGAACUGCGAGUGUAGAGGUGAAAUUCGUAGAUAUUCGCAAGAACACCAGUGGCGAAGGCGGCUCACUGGCCCGGUACUGACGCUGAGGUGCGAAAGCGUGGGGAGCAAACAGG